rnacentral:rRNA from 1 species
AAUGGGGGCAACCCUGAUCCAGCCAUGCCGCGUGAGUGACGAAGGCCUUCGGGUUGUAAAGCUCUUUCGGAUGUGAAGAUAAUGACAGUAGCAUAAGAAGAAGCUCCGGCUAAACUCGUGCCAGCAGCCGCGGUAAUACGAGUGGAGCGAGCGUUGUUCGGAAUCACUGGGCGUAAAGCGUGCGCAGGCGGUCAUGUAAGUCGGGAGUGAAAUCCCAGGGCUUAACCCUGGAAUUGCUCUCGAAACUGCGUGACUCGAAUCCCGGAGAGGUUGGCGGAAUUCUCAGUGUAGAGGUGAAAUUCGCAGAUAUUGAGAGGAACACCAGUGGCGUAAGCGGCCAACUGGACGGGUAUUGACGCUCAGGCACGAAAGCGUGGGGAUCAAA